GGAUACAACAAGCAAGGAGAAGAUAUUAUUAAUUCGAUCAAGUUAGCAAAUUUGCAAAGAAUUUCAAUCUAAAAGAUUUUAUUUUUCCAGAAAUGACCGCAGAGACCAAAUCCAAUUUAGUUAAGGUGAAGCAGCCCAGUGGUCAAUAUGGUUCUUCAAAGGGAAAGUUUGAUGCUGCUGUGAACAAGAAGAAGCUUGAAAGCUCCAGCAAACAACAGCAUGUUGAUGCAAAGCAAAAAUCUCUGUCAACUGUCACACCAAAAACAGAGGUAAAAUCGAAAACAAGUUCGAGUUCAUCAAAAACCACUACAACCACAAAAACUAAAGCUAGGGAGAAGAAGGUUUAUACUUUGCCUCGCCAGAAACAUGAUCCUCCUUAAGAGGCUGUAACGAAUAU